AUCCAGCUGACGAAUCCCAAAUACGGCGAAAUGCGUAUCCUGAAU
rfam:Schistosoma haematobium scaffold77_17, whole genome shotgun sequence.